GUGGCUGCUGUGGCUGUGCCACGGCCCUCGGCGGCUGCCGUCCGACUCCGUCCCGCCGGCGGGAGCCGCCCCGAGCCCUGCAGGCGUCCGGCCGCGGUGCUCGGCGACGGUGGCUGCCGGUGGAGCCCAGCGGCAGCGAGACGCCAGCGGCGGCAGCCUGCAUCGCCUCUGCUUCUCCCAGCCGGCAGAGGCUGCAAUGACAUCCCCCAGCAGCCUGCUUCAGGCGAAGCUGAAGAGCUGUAGCUCAGCCUUCCUUUGUGGCAGAGCUGUUCCAGCUCCCUGUCUCCUUCUGUGGCCUUCUCUGGCCCCGCUCUUAACUGGUUGAUGCCUUCCCUGUGCUGGGGAGCUGGAUGCAGCAGGUGAGGAGGAGCCACAGCAGAGUGCAGUGGAAGGGCAGAAUCGCCUGCCCUGCUCUGCUGAGCACUUUGAAGAGCCAGGUCCUGCAGCUGCAGCAGGAGCUUGUGCACGCUGGCAGAGUGCAGCCUCUGGCAGAGUCCUGCCACGAAGCCCAGAAGCUUUCCAGCAGCUGCCUGCAGCAGGAGAGCAGUGAGCUGCAGAGGGAGAAUGUCAGUUUGCAGGAGGAGCUGGAGAGAUCUGAAGCUAAGGGUCCAAGGUGAACGUUGCAGGCUGAGCAGCACAGCCCAGGAGCAAGCCAGGAGCACUGCAGCCCUUCAUAAAGACCUGCAAGCUGCUGCCUCGGUAAGCCAGUCAGAGCCUGGUUGCUUGGGGGUUGGUGUGGGGCGGUUUGGAGGCGAGGUGCUCCUGGAGAGCCUGGGAGAGAUGAGUUCCUCUGUUCUGCUGCCUGGAGGCUGCUCUCCUGGCCUGCUGCCCAGCUGUGUGGCUUUGAGAGUUGUGUGGUGAGAUGGCAGCAAGUGCCAGGCAAUGGCAUCCUUGUGAAGGAGUUGGCAGGGAUGCUGCAGUUUGGAGCAGGGCCGAGGCUGGGAGCUCAGGCAGCACUUGAGGCAGUGCUGUGGGACAGGGAUUUGGUACUUCUGGCAGCUGCUCUGCCUCUCUCUCGGCCCUUUUCUUCCUGCCCCUUUCUCAGCCCCUGCCCUGCUCCUCUCUGCCUCCUGCCGCCCACCCGGCCGGGGGCAGGGGAGGAGUCAGACAGGCGGGGGGGUGGGGGCGGCUCUGCCCCUGCCCCGGCUCUGCCUCUGCCCAUGACCUGGGCACGGCUCUGCCUCUGCCCUUGCCCUGCACCGGGCACUGCUCUGCCUCUGCCCCUGCCCCUGGCAUGGCUCUAUCCCUGCCUCUACCCUGC